rnacentral:rRNA from 1 species
AAGCUUGCUUCUCUGAUGUUAGCGGCGGACGGGUGAGUAACACGUGGAUAACCUACCUAUAAGACUGGGAUAACUUCGGGAAACCGGAGCUAAUACCGGAUAAUAUUUUGAACCGCAUGGUUCAAAAGUGAAAGACGGUCUUGCUGUCACUUAUAGAUGGAUCCGCGCUGCAUUAGCUAGUUGGUAAGGUAACGGCUUACCAAGGCAACGAUGCAUAGCCGACCUGAGAGGGUGAUCGGCCACACUGGAACUGAGACACGGUCCAGACUCCUACGGGAGGCAGCAGUAGGGAAUCUUCCGCAAUGGGCGAAAGCCUGACGGAGCAACGCCGCGUGAGUGAUGAAGGUCUUCGGAUCGUAAAACUCUGUUAUUAGGGAAGAACAUAUGUGUAAGUAACUGUGCACAUCUUGACGGUACCUAAUCAGAAAGCCACGGCUAACUACGUGCCAGCAGCCGCGGUAAUACGUAGGUGGCAAGCGUUAUCCGGAAUUAUUGGGCGUAAAGCGCGCGUAGGCGGUUUUUUAAGUCUGAUGUGAAAGCCCACGGCUCAACCGUGGAGGGUCAUUGGAAACUGGAAAACUUGAGUGCAGAAGAGGAAAGUGGAAUUCCAUGUGUAGCGGUGAAAUGCGCAGAGAUAUGGAGGAACACCAGUGGCGAAGGCGACUUUCUGGUCUGUAACUGACGCUGAUGUGCGAAAGCGUGGGGAUCAAACAGGAUUAGAUACCCUGGUAGUCCACGCCGUAAACGAUGAGUGCUAAGUGUUAGGGGGUUUCCGCCCCUUAGUGCUGCAGCUAACGCAUUAAGCACUCCGCCUGGGGAGUACGACCGCAAGGUUGAAACUCAAAGGAAUUGACGGC